rnacentral:rRNA from 1 species
AACAGGAUUAGAUACCCUGGUAGUCCACGCUGUAAACGAUGUCGAUUUGGAGGUUGUGCCCUUGAGGCGUGGCUUCCGGAGCUAACGCGUUAAAUCGACCGCCUGGGGAGUACGGCCGCAAGGUUAAAACUCAAAUGAAUUGACGGGGGCCCGCACAAGCGGUGGAGCAUGUGGUUUAAUUCGAUGCAACGCGAAGAACCUUACCUGGUCUUGACAUCCACAGAACUUAGCAGAGAUGCUUUGGUGCCUUCGGGAACUGUGAGACAGGUGCUGCAUGGCUGUCGUCAGCUCGUGUUGUGAAAUGUUGGGUUAAGUCCCGCAACGAGCGCAACCCUUAUCCUUUGUUGCCAGCGGUUAGGCCGGGAACUCAAAGGAGACUGCCAGUGAUAAACUGGAGGAAGGUGGGGAUGACGUCAAGUCAUCAUGGCCCUUACGACCAGGGCUACACACGUGCUACAAUGGCAUAUACAAAGAGAAGCGACCUCGCGAGAGCAAGCGGACCUCAUAAAGUAUGUCGUAGUCCGGAUUGGAGUCUGCAACUCGACUCCAUGAAGUCGGAAUCGCUAGUAAUCGUAGAUCAGAAUGCUACGGUGAAUACGCUCCCGGGCCUUGUACACACCGCCCGUCACACCAUGGGAGUGGGUUGCAAAAGAAGUAGGUAGCUUAACCUUCGGGAGGGCGCUUACCACUUUGUGAUUCAUGACUGGGGUGAAGUCGUAACAAGGUAACC